CCAGUCACAUCCCCUUAUCACUUUUCCAGCCCAGCUGUGUGACUCUAGUGUUGGACGGAGAACUGAUAAGGGUAGGUGGUUGA
ensembl:miRNA